CCGGGCUACCAUGCCGGUGGGGAAACACCCGGCUCCAUUCCGAACCCGGUCGUUAAGCCCACCAGGGCCGAUGGUACUACCCUCGCAAGGGGGUGGGAGAGUAGGUCGUAGCCCGGG
rnacentral:rRNA from 1 species